UACGGAGGGGUCAAGCGUUAUCCGGAUUCACUGGGUUUAAAGGGUGCGUAGGUGGGCUGGUAAGUCAGUGGUGAAAUCUCCGUGCUUAACAUGGAAACUGCCAUUGAUACUACUGAUCUUGAAUUUUCUGGAGGUAAGCGGAAUAUGUCAUGUAGCGGUGAAAUGCUUAGAUAUGACAUAGAACACCAAUUGCGAAGGCAGCUUGCUACAGGGAUAUUGACACUGAGGCACGAAAGCGUGGGGAUCAAACAGG
rnacentral:rRNA from 1 species